rnacentral:lncRNA from 1 species
CAAAUUUAAGAUAAAGUUUUCCGUUUAUAGGACCAAUAUAGAAGGUAGUAAUACUUAAUCAUUAUGGAAAUAUAAAUCCGUUUAAAAAAAAUAUUUUUUUGCUUUCGUGAUGUUUUUUGACGAUUUUUUUUGUUUUUUACAAAAUUUACAUAAAACGACAAUUUGAAAAACAGAAGUUUCAACUAAUGAUGCCAACCUCUCAUUUAAAGGUAAAGACAAUGUUUGCCAUCAAUUUGUUUUUAAAAAUCAUACAGUUUCUUCGUUUAUUUGUUUACCAAAGUUCGGCCCCACGAGAAAAUCGUUAAAAUGUAUACAUUAUCAACUGAUUUAUCAUAGACAGUAUGUGUAAAGUGAUAUUCAAAAAGC